GGUAAUUCUAGAGCUAAUACAUGCAAAAAAACCCUGACUUACGAAAGGGUGCACUUAUUAGAUAAAGCCAACGCUGGGUAAAACCAGUUUCCCUUGGUGAUUCAUAAUAAUUUAGCGGAUCGCAUGGCCUUGUGCUAGCGACAGUCCACUCGAUUUUCUGCCCUAUCAUGGUUGAGAUUGUAAGAUAGAGGCUUACAAUGCCUACAACGGGUAACGGGGAAUUAGGGUUCGAUUCCGGAGAG
rnacentral:rRNA from 1 species